rnacentral:lncRNA from 1 species
GGGCUGCUGUGGGUCAGCCCUGGGCUUGCUGUGGGUCAGAUGUGGGUCAGAUGUGGGGCAGCCCCACUGUGGCUCAGCCCUGCCCUGGGUCAGCCCCAGGCCCAGUGUGGGUCAGCCGUGGGGCAGCCCUGCCGUGGGUCAGAUGUGGGGCAGCCCCAGCCCCUCUGUGGGUCGGCCGUAGGUCAGAUGUGGGGCAGCCCUGCCGUGGGUCAGCCCCAGCCCCUCUAUGGGUCAGCUGUGGGUCAGAGGUGGGUCAGCCCUGCCGUGGGUCAGCUGUGGGUCAGGGCCGGCCCCUCUGCGGGUCAGCUGUGGGGCAGCCCCUCUGGAUGUGGGUCAGAUGUGGGGCAAGGUCUCUAUGGGUCAGCCCCAGCCCCUCUAUGGGUCGGCCAUGGGUCAGAUGUGGGGCAGGGUCUCUCUGGGUCAGAUGUGGGGCAGCCCCUCUGGAUGUGGGUCAGAUGUGGGGCAGGGCUGCUGUGGGUCAGAUGUGGGUCUCUAUGGGUCGGCCAUGAGUCAGAUGUGGGGCAGCCCCUCUGGAUGUGGGUCAGCUGUGGGUCAGAUGUGGGGCAGGGCUGCCAUGGGUCUCAGUGGGUCUCUAUGGGUCGGCCGUGGGUCAGCAGUGGGUCAGAUGUGGGGCAGGGCGGGCAGGCUCUGUGGGUCCCUGUGGGUCUCUGUGGGUCAGAUGUGGGGCAGGGCGGGCAGGCUCUGUGGGUCUCUAUGGGUCGCAGUGGGUCAGAUGUGGGGCAGGGCGGGCAGGCUCAGUGGGUCUCUGUGGGUCUCUAUGGGUCAGAUGUGGGUCGCAGUGGGUCAGAUGUGGGG